UCGGGAAUUUUGCUCAAUGGGGGAAACCCUGAAGCAGCAACGCCGCGUGCGGGAUGAAGGCCUUCGGGUUGUAAACCGCUUUUACCAGGGACGAUGAUGACGGUACCUGAUGAAUAAGUCACGGCUAACUACGUGCCAGCAGCCGCGGUAAUACGUAGGUGACCAGCGUUGUCCGGAUUUACUGGGCGUAAAGAGCGCGCAGGCGGUCGUUCAAGUCGAGUGUGAAAGCCCCCGGCUCAACUGGGGAGGGUCAUUCGAUACUGAUCGACUCGAAGGCAGGAGAGGGAAGCGGAAUUCCCGGUGUAGUGGUGAAAUGCGUAGAUAUCGGGAGGAACACCAGUGGCGAAGGCGGCUUCCUGGCCUGUUCUUGACGCUGAGGCGCGAAAGCUAGGGGAGCAAACGGGAUUAGAUACCCCGGUAGUCCUAGCCGUAAACGAUGGACACUAGGUGUUGGCGGUAUCAACCCCACCAGUGCCGAAGCUAACGCAUUAAGUGUCCCGCCUGGGGAGUACGGCCGAC
rnacentral:rRNA from 1 species